CGGCGUGCCUAAUACAUGCAAGUCGAACGCUUCUUUCCUCCCGAGUGCUUGCACUCAAUUGGAAAGAGGAGUGGCGGACGGGUGAGUAACACGUGGGUAACCUACCCAUCAGAGGGGGAUAACACUUGGAAACAGGUGCUAAUACCGCAUAACAGUUUAUGCCGCAUGGCAUAAGAGUGAAAGGCGCUUUCGGGUGUCGCUGAUGGAUGGACCCGCGGUGCAUUAGCUAGUUGGUGAGGUAACGGCUCACCAAGGCCACGAUGCAUAGCCGACCUGAGAGGGUGAUCGGCCACACUGGGACUGAGACACGGCCCAGACUCCUACGGGAGGCAGCAGUAGGGAAUCUUCGGCAAUGGACGAAAGUCUGACCGAGCAACGCCGCGUGAGUGAAGAAGGUUUUCGGAUCGUAAAAUUCUGUUGUUAGAGAAGAACAAGGACGUUAGUAACUGAACGUCCCCUGACGGUAUCUAACCAGAAAGCCACGGCUAACUACGUGCCAGCAGCCGCGGUAAUACGUAGGUGGCAAGCGUUGUCCGGAUUUAUUGGGCGUAAAGCGAGCGCAGGCGGUUUCUUAAGUCUGAUGUGAAAGCCCCCGGCUCAACCGGGGAGGGUCAUUGGAAACUGGGAGACUUGAGUGCAGAAGAGGAGAGUGGAAUUCCAUGUGUAGCGGUGAAAUGCGUAGAUAUAUGGAGGAACACCAGUGGCGAAGGCGGCUCUCUGGUCUGUAACUGACGCUGAGGCUCGAAAGCGUGGGGAGCAAACAGGAUUAGAUACCCUGGUAGUCCACGCCGUAAACGAUGAGUGCUAAGUGUUGGAGGGUUUCCGCCCUUCAGUGCUGCAGCAAACGCAUUAAGCACUCCGCCUGGGGAGUACGACCGCAAGGUUGAAACUCAAAGGAAUUGACGGGGGCCCGCACAAGCGGUGGA
rnacentral:rRNA from 1 species